GUACACAAAAAUGCACAUAUUGUGAGCUCGAUGAGUAGGGCGGGACACGUGGUAUCCUGUCUGAAUAUGGGGGGACCAUCCUCCAAGGCUAAAUACUCCUGACUGACCGAUAGUGAACCAGUACCGUGAGGGAAAGGCGAAAAGAACCCCGGCGAGGGGAGUGAAAAAGAACCUGAAACCGUGUACGUACAAGCAGUGGGAGCCUCUUUAUGGGGUGACUGCGUACCUUUUGUAUAAUGGGUCAGCGACUUAUAUUCUGUAGCAAGGUUAACCGAAUAGGGGAGCCGAAGGGAAACCGAGUCUUAACUGGGCGUUAAGUUGCAGGGUAUAGACCCGAAACCCGGUGAUCUAGCCAUGGGCAGGUUGAAGGUUGGGUAACACUAACUGGAGGACCGAACCGACUAAUGUUGAAAAAUUAGCGGAUGACUUGUGGCUGGGGGUGAAAGGCCAAUCAAACCGGGAGAUAGCUGGUUCUCCCCGAAAGCUAUUUAGGUAGCGCCUCGUGAAUUCAUCUCCGGGGGUAGAGCACUGUUUCGGCAAGGGGGUCAUCCCGACUUACCAACCCGAUGCAAACUGCGAAUACCGGAGAAUGUUAUCACGGGAGACACACGGCGGGUGCUAACGUCCGUCGUGAAGAGGGAAACAACCCAGACCGCCAGCUAAGGUCCCAAAGUCAUGGUUAAGUGGGAAACGAUGUGGGAAGGCCCAGACAGCCAGGAUGUUGGCUUAGAAGCAGCCAUCAUUUAAAGAAAGCGUAAUAGCUCACUGGUCGAGUCGGCCUGCGCGGAAGAUGUAACGGGGCUAAACCAUGCACCGAAGCUGCGGCAGCGACACUAUGUGUUGUUGGGUAGGGGAGCGUUCUGUAAGCCUGUGAAGGUGGCCUGUGAGGGUUGCUGGAGGUAUCAGAAGUGCGAAUGCUGACAUAAGUAACGAUAAAGCGGGUGAAAAGCCCGCUCGCCGGAAGACCAAGGGUUCCUGUCCAACGUUAAUCGGGGCAG
rnacentral:rRNA from 1 species